rfam:Cavia porcellus supercont2_21 genomic scaffold, whole genome shotgun sequence.
UACCCCCUGGAAAGGGGUCAAGAGACACCUGAUUGAUGGUGGUGUUCUUAUGUCAGUGAGGGGCAGAGCAGAGGACGGUCCUUUGCUCAUCCUAGCUGAGGCCUGGGUUGGUGCCGGAGCUGUUUCAUGCUUAGGGCUCAUGA